rnacentral:rRNA from 1 species
GGAAGGGUUGUAUUUAUUAGAUAAUACCCAAUAUAAUUGGUGACUCAUAAUAACUUUACGGAUCACAUUAAAUGUGACAUAUCAUUCAAGUUUCUGACCUAUCAGCUUUAGACGGUAGGGUAUUGGCCUACCGUGGCAAUGACGGGUAACGGGGAAUUAGGGUUCGAUUCCGGAGAGGGAGCCUGAGAAACGGCUACCACAUCUAAGGAAGGCAGCAGGCGCGCAUAUUACCCAAUCCUAAUACAGGGAGGUAGUGACAAGAAAUAACAAUACAGGACUUUUUGGUUUUGUAAUUGGAAUGAGUUAAGUAUAAACCCCUUUACAAGUAUCAAUUGGAGGGCAAGUCUGGUGCCAGCAGCCGCGGUAAUUCCAGCUCCAAUAGCGUAUAUUAAAGUUGUUGCAGUUAAAAAGCUCGUAGUUGGAUUUCUGUUAAUAAUUUAUAUAAAAUAUUUUGAUGAAUAUUUAUAUAAUAUUAACAUAAUUCAUAUUACCUAUAUAUUUUAGUAUAUGAAAUUUUUACUUUGAGAAAAUUAGAGUGCUUAAAGCAGGCAUAUGCCUUGAAUACUCCAGCAUGGAAUAAUAUUAAAGAUUUUCAUCUUUCCUAAUUGUUCUCAGAUAAGAAUAAUGAUUUAUAGGGACAGUUGGG